CUCGAGAUUCUGACUGAUUCCUGCGAAAAGCGAAAAUUUAAUUUAUGGGACUGAACCAUCUAUGAAGUCAGCUGAAAUCAACCGAAGUCAGCUGAAGUGAAGCCUGAUGAUAUUGCCGGCUACCACUUAGGCACUUACCACUGCUCGAGUGCUCGCUCUCGCUGCUCACAAUACUCAUCAGUCUCACCCUACCCAUCCAUCGCGACAUAUGAUUACGAAAUUAUUCAUCAGGCGUCAUCAGCGCAGCCUAUAACGAUGAACUGCACUAACAAUACGACUUAGGACCUUGGCACACAAAAAACUUAAGGAAGAAAGAAUUGGGAGAUAAAAAACUGAUGGAGGGAUAUUACUAGAGAUUCUACCACUAUUCCGUACACGUGAGUAAAAAAAGAGGGGAAGAGAACUCAAAAUAUGCU